rnacentral:rRNA from 1 species
GACGAACGCUGGCGGCGUGCCUAAUACAUGCAAGCCGAGCGGACAGAAGGGAGCUUGCUCCCGGAAGUUAGCGGCGGACGGGUGAGUAACACGUGGGCAACCUACCCUGUAGAUCGGGAUAACAUCGAGAAAUCGGUGCUAAUACCGGAUAAUCAUUUUAAGUGCAUGCUUCGAAUGUAAAAGAUGGCUCCGGCUAUCACUACGGGAUGGGCCCGCGGCGCAUUAGCUAGUUGGUAAGGUAAUGGCUUACCAAGGCAACGAUGCGUAGCCGACCUGAGAGGGUGAUCGGCCACACUGGGACUGAGACACGGCCCAGACUCCUACGGGAGGCAGCAGUAGGGAAUCUUCCGCAAUGGACGAAAGUCUGACGGAGCAACGCCGCGUGAGUGAUGAAGGUUUUCGGAUCGUAAAGCUCUGUUGUUAGGGAAGAACAAGUGCCGUUUGAAUAAGGCGGCACCUUGACGGUACCUAACCAGAAAGCCACGGCUAACUACGUGCCAGCCGCCGCGGUAAAAC